UCUUUGCAAUCGAAUUAAGGUUGUGUUUUUGCUUUUUUUGAAAACACAUUAAAAGGGAAGCAAGUGAUUGAAGAUUGCUGAUUAGCGAUUUAUGAUUUUAAAUCUAAAAUCAAAAUUCUAAAAUUAAAAUUCAAAAAUCUUGCGCUGUUCCCGCAACUGUAAGCUAUCAAGCUUGUUGUUAUCUACAAAACCACUGUCUCGUCCUAAGACGAGAUGGGAAGGUCAACAACAAGACGCAAGCCAGGAGACCUGCCUUUUUUCUUAACUAAUA
rnacentral:ncRNA from 2 species